AUGUAUGACAUUGAAUUACAGUUCCUUUUCUUUUGAUAGGAACUUGCAGCUAAUUUGAGGUUGAUUCUGUCAUUUAAACGUCAGCUCGAUGAUGUGCCAUCACAAGCUGAACUCAUUCAGUAUGAACUCCGUUUUUCAGAACUUUAUACUCAUAUCCAGGCCAAGGAUCGUCAAACCCGUAGAUACUAUGCUACUUACAACACAUUGUUGGAGAUAAAAGAAUUGAUGCUAAAGGAAACAUCGUUACUGAACUCCAUACGCUCACAGUUCAAAGAUGCUCUUACUAGCCCUGCUGGUCGAAAGAAAUUAAUUGAUUCAAUGGAAGGAAUUCUGCACGGAACUCAACAGAAGCUGGAAAACGUGCAAAUUGCACUACAGUCGGAGCAGAAAGCUCAUGAAGCUCUCAAGGGGAAAUAUGCAGCUGCAAUUUCAGAGCAAAGGCAUUACAAUUCUAUCUUAAAGGCUUUCCAGAUGUUGCACUUUGAGAAUAUCCAUCUAAACUUCAACUCAUCGAGGGACACAUUUAUUUUGCACCUUUAGAAUGCACCCUGCUAAAGUUUGACUCAUUGAGGGACAAAACAUGGAAACAGAGUAGCAUGUGGACUCUGCAGCUCCGCAUCUCUACAACAGCAGGAUUUGUUGGAUGUGGGCAGGUUUAAUGUUGGUUUUUAAAGAAAGCUAGUCUACCUUCAAAUCCAUAUUUCUGCAAAGCUAAGUGGAAUGUGCAAGGAAUGAAAGACUUCGCAUGCAGACUUCACAAGAACAUUUAACAAGUUGAUAUAUGUAUUUCGGGUUGAAGAAGUGUUCCAUUCUUCAAGAAAUAGGUAGUACUAGAUCUGAGUACCUUCAACUCAUCUGCAAAGUUACCUUGUGUUGGAAAAAAAUUAAUUGAUAAAUCCGCUUAACGUAAUGUAAUGCAAACUAGCUUCUAGCAUUUGAUGCUCUUAAUGUAGUGUGUUUCGUAUUGGGGUGCAGGAUAGGAAUAUUUUCUAAAGAAGUUUCGUUUAUUUGUA